AGUUCUCUCAAUGGUAUCUUUGGCUCAUUAAUUUGUUCAGUUCCAGCAGUUAGGCAAGCUCUGCUUCUGAUAGUCGGCUAAAAUAAUUUGAUAUUUU